GAAGGAUUUGGCUGGGCUCUCAGAGCGCUGCUGUUGCUACCGGGGCGGAGACGCGCUGCUGGCGCGCCUCGGCGGCGUGUGAUGCUUCUCCACCCUCGCGGGGAGCUCGCCAGCUUCCGAACGGAGCGCACCCUUUCUCCGCUCCGCUCAGUGCCCGGGGAAACCAGCGAAGCCUUCACGUUCCACGCACCCCGAGAGGAAAAUCUGUCCCGGGGCCGAGAUUCAGGGGGCCAAGGCAGAGGUGUGUGUAUUUGGGAGUGGGGGGGGAGAGACCGCAAGGGGGACGCGCCUCGGAAGCACGCCCAGAAGGAGCCGCGCCCUCCGCCCAGCCCACCGCAAAGCAUCCAGCCCAAGUCAGAUCACUUUUCCAGAGUCAGAAACUACCUGGAUAAUCCCAAGUCUCCACACUGAGAGACUCGGGAUGAAAAAGUGGUUACCGUUUAGAAGAUAAAAUCAAAAGCAAGUGAAUACAACACGCACCGGCUAAACUAGGAAUGAAAACAACAUUAUUGGAUUUCAUUGCAUCAACCAUUUUUGGAUGGACCAGUUUCUGCCCCUCAUUGCAAUAGCUUCUGGAAUGAGGGUUGAUUACCAAACUCAGAGUGAAACAAACUCAUAAGGAAUCUAUUAUUGUCGUGAUGGCUCUCUUAGUUCAGUGGGUGAUCCCUUCCUAUCAUGACAUUUGUCAAUUGCCCUGAUUAACCACACAAGGAAAGACAGAGAACUGAAAAAUAAAGUGGUCAUCAGUCUUCCGUUGAUGUUCAGAGCAGAGCUUGGAAAGAUAUGUCUUUCACUGCUGGCUGUUAAACGUCUCUUAGGGACCAUGUAACUUCAUGGACACAACUAGAAGCAAGCUGUGUUCUCUUCACCUUUCCUCUGAAAACACCUCUGCUUAAAACGUUAGCCAUCCUAAACAUUCCAAUGAGGCCCAAGUUUAGAGACACUUCGGUUCCCACUUUUCUAACAGCCAAGGUGCGUGAGACCUUAUUGAAUGCUACGCAAGAAGCUGAAACCCAAAAGACAGAGGAAUCCCUUUCAUCAGCCGUGGCAUUGCUUGUGGUGCUGAUCCUCCUCUUCUGCCUGGUGUCUUUGUCCCUGGCGACCUCCUGCUUUCAUAAAUGGAAGCUGAGGAGCAAAAGAUUACAGAAAGCUCAUGAAGAGUAUCAGAAGGAUUAUGAAAAUAGCGGGCACCGAAUCACGUCAAGACUUGUUUAACAAGAGGGAACAAAACUCAAAGCAAAGACAUCAACCUAACUAUUAUAUUUCUGCAUUAAUAUGAAAGAUAGAAGAUAACUUUGAACAUUAUUGAUUAAAUGAUAUAGCAUAUUGCUUUCCUAAUAUGGACCUGUCAAUUAAUUGAGAUUUUUCCUACCUUUUCAUUCUCUAUUUAAGAUCAUACCAUGAUUGGACUGUAAAGCUACCUUUACUAGCACAAUCUCCAGGAAGCAAUAUUCAAACAUAUAAAAGCAUCACUCCAUUGUUUGUGUAGGGCUACUCUGGAAAAGCCAGCUUGAAAGUAACCUCUUUUCUUUUAUCCAGAUUUUCCACUGGUAUCAGAGAGCUUAAAUUUGAGCUGCUGAAAAAAGGGCAGCACAACUGUGAAAUCCAUAUAAAUCCUCUGAUGUAACAACUUCAAAGAAAAUCCUAAUUUUUCAAAACAGUAGAAGACAGCCUGAUCAAAGGCAGUGGGAUUUCCAUCCCAUCAAAUACCUACCACAAAUGCUUUCUCGUGCAAGUUGCAGGUCAAUUGAUUGGAAAUUAACUUUUAAAACAAUAGGAACAACUUUAUUCAUAGGUGCCAGUUACAGAUUUCACUGCAGAUGGUAAAAUAAAGAUGAGGUAAAAUAUCUCUCUUGGGGAAAUACUACAGGGUGAAAAAUAGUUAUUAUUCUAUCAUUUGGGGGUGGGUGGGAAUGUGCCUCUACAUAAUAAGAGAAUGAAAUUUGUACUCUAAUAUAAAAACCUUUCUUGUUUUGCUUUGUUUCCCUACAUUUGUAAUAAUUAUAGAAAAAGAGUCAGAGAACCCAACCUGUGGUAGAAAUCUAGUAUAAAGCCCAUGAUUAUAAUAAUGGCACCUGAGCUGAGCAGAAAAGGAGCCUCAAGAGGAGCAUUAAUAAACUUCUUUUUGACAUCCUAUGGCUGAAUACAAAGAAAAAGGCAACAAUACUCACAAAUACAAAGGGAUUUGCUGCCAAUAUAUUUAUAGAUAUGGUACACACAGAAAACCAUUUUUGAAACAGAAAUACAAAGGCAAUUAUUAAGGGUCCACCUGAAUCGACCAUCCAAAGGUAAGAAAAACCAUCAAAAAGAUAUGGAGAUAGAGAGACAGACAGACAGAGAGAGAGAAAUCAGAGAGAGACAGAGAGAAACAGAGAAACAUCACCUUUGGCUAUUCUGGUAUAGCAAAGGAAUCAGUAUGGCAGGUAAAGACCACAUCUGAUGGAUGGAUACCCCAUUGAGCCCAUUAAUUAGUUAGAUGAUGACAUGUAAAACCUUUUUAAAAUGGUGCCCUCAGUUAAGCAGGGCUGAUUUUUUUAAAAAAACAACACUAUUUUUAAUAUGAAAACUUAAAAAGAAUAUGCAAGGGAGACAUGACCUUGACAAGAGCAAUGGCCUUGCAUUCAUGGCAGCGAAUGGGGCCAGUGCUCUUAUUUACAUGCAAAUAUAAUCAACUGAAGCCCUUAUGAUUAACCAAUUAUUUUUUUUAUAUUCUUCUUUAAUUGCCUAACCACGUUUACAAUUCCUUUUAACUGAGCUUAUUUAUAAUAGCAUGUUUUUAUUUUCAUGGUUUACUGACUUCAUACUAAGGACAAUAAUUUGAUAGGUAGCUUAUUAAAAGUAAUCCUUUUUAACCAGAAUGUGAGAUAUAUCAUGAAAAUGACUAUCUGUUUUUGCUAUGUUUUUAAGUAGGUAGCAUGCAUAUACAGUAUAAACCUGCAACCAUCCUACUAAAGUAUAUAGCUUGCUUGCAAUUACCAUUUGUCAAUGUAAUGCACAUUUUUCAAUAAGUUGUGACACUGGGGAAGACUAUACACCUUUUCUUCCAGAGAGGGGAGGAAAUUUCCAGUUGGGGGGGGGAGUGGGGAGAAAGUGAAAAAACUGCUGAAGGGAUUAAAAGAGCUCACUGAGAGCAGAGCAUGUUUCUUAAGAAUGCCACAAAGGGGAAAUCAUGGAAGAGCCUUAAGAGCCUGUUUGAUUGCUACAGAGAGGUUUUGAAAAAUGUAUUUAUGGGUCAUCCGGAUGAUUCUAUGCAGGAACAAAACAAUAUAACUUUGUUAUUUAAUAAAUCAAAGAAGCGGUGAACUUUAA